GACAGAGGGUGCAAACGUUGCUCGGAAUCACUGGGCGUAAAGGGCGCGUAGGCGGGAAUGUAAGUCGGGCGUGAAAUCCCUAGGCUCAACCUAGGAACUGCACUCGAAACUGCGUUUCUUGAGUAUCGGAGAGGAAAGCGGAAUUCCUGGUGUAGAGGUGAAAUUCGUAGAUAUCAGGAGGAACACCAGUGGCGAAGGCGGCUUUCUGGACGGUAACUGACGCUGAGGCG
rnacentral:rRNA from 1 species